GUGCUUGCUUCAGCAGCACAUAUCCUAAAGUUGGAAGGAUGCAGAGGAGAUUAACAUGGUCCCAGUGCAAGAACAACAGCAACAACAAAAAUCUCCUGUAGCAUUUC